rnacentral:tRNA from 1 species
CACUGGGUGGCAUAAAUGGAUUGCUCUCGGCUACUAACUGAAAGGUUGGUGGUUCAAACCCACUCAGUGG